ensembl:lncRNA
UGUUCAGUUUGUGGACUUAGAAGUACCAAUAAAACUCCACUCUCCGCCCUCCACUCUUCAGGCUGGUAUCUGAGGGAGAGAAUGCAGGAGAUUUCUCUGGACCUGGACUUCCAGGAUCAGGAGCAGAAGAUGUAUGUGGCAGGCGCGCUCAAUAAUCUAUUCAAUAUGAAAGUGUGCAACAACCUAAAAGACCUGCUCACAGGCCCUCCAGUCAGCCCACAGGCCACAACCAUGCAAAGACCAGAAGGACUGAGGAGCAUUAACCAGGAAACCACAAACACGGGGUCUCUUUCAGCUACACGGUUAGCAGAUGCUAGCUCAGCUGAGGAUUAUGAAGACAGGCACAGUGAUAUAUCACAUACUAAAGCCCAUUCCAUUCUCAUCAUCAUCUUCAUGCUCAGUCUGGCUCUGAUCCUGCUGGCCAGCCUGGCACUGUCUGCCUACGUUCUCUAUCUCAUAGCCCAGAGCAAUGAGAAGAUAGAGGACUUCUCCAGGAGCCAGCAGCUGCACAGAAAAUACUUGGAGGAGAUCAGAGAGUGGAAAACCAUCAUUCAGCAGGUCCUUAAUCACUCCACUGCACUGCAGGCAAAGUGAGAGUCUUAUGCUGUUGGUGCCUUUUAGGAUGGCACCUAAUAAAUGCAGCCAGGCCUGCACAGAACAUGCUGGCUGUAGUCUAGCAGAGUCUAUUUGUCAGGAGUGUCUGUGCAUAUCCAUGAAGGAGAUCCUCUCCGGCUUUGCGGUGAGUGAGCAGAUUACCUCACUCUUGUUUGUGUGCACUUUGAAUGCAAAGCUGCCUUGACUUGACACAAUGGGUGCACAUACGUUCAAGUCAGCUUAAUAUACUCAGGUUAGGCUCAAGGUGAGGUGCAGGCUGUCAGUGGCAGUAUAACGAUGUAGGAAUAGAAGGAUUUAAGUUGAGAAAGAGCAAAGCAUGUAUGUCACCUUAUACAAGUAGAAGAGAGUACUGUGGUAUGUACAGUGUGAAAGUCUCAGUAUUCAGUAUGUCGCUGUGGUAUUUCGCAUAAAGCUUCUCUCAGUCUGUAAAUGAUAGAUGAUAUGCUAACAUUCUGUGGUCAAGAUUAGCAGAAAUUGUACACUGUUUACAGUCACUUUUGUCAGCAUAUCUGCUUUGAAAGUGGUUUACCAUGUUGGAAAUAGGAGGCACGAUUGAUAUUAAUUUUAUUAUAGCACUACAGCUUUCUCAGUAAUUUAACAAAAACCUACAAUGUUAUUCUGGAUCUUCCAAAAACAGCUUAUUUUCUUGAAAGUAUCUCAAGAAAAUAAGUGAAAAGUUUCCAAAAGUGGAGUUGAAAAAUGGUAACACUUUGAUAGUCCAUCAUAAAUUCUUUGUAAAUGCUCAGUGUGUCUUUGAAAUUCAACUAAAUAUCUAUUAAAUUAAUAUAAAAUCAAAUGGGAUGGGUUCUAUCAAAUCUAGCCUUAAUCCUAACCCUAACAUUAACCUUAACUUCAACCCAAAAUCUACACCUACUCCUAAACCAAAACUUCACCGUAAUGUUGCUGAUAAUCGCCAUCACCAGAAAGUUUGUCAAUAAUUUCAGUAUGUGUAGAUCAUCUGUAGGGGACCGUCCAAAUAGAGUGUGACCUCCCCAACAGAUAAACAGCACUUAAAGCUUCUAUCUUUGAGAGAGAGAGGAGAAAAUCAUGCUGCUUCAGAUCUGAAUAAUACACAGAUGUUUUAGUCCAUCCUUCCAAAGUGAAAAGGAACUCAACACUAUGAGUCUGAAAGGAUGAGUAGCAAUUUGGGAGCACUCACAGAGAAAAGGAAAUAGACAAAAAAAAGAAGAAAACCUGCAAAUCAAACAAAGAAGCUGCUGGUGUUCUCAGAACAAUGGGUUUGACCACUGAGUCCAGACCUCAACAUCACUGAAUGUGUACUUGGAUUGAGAGAACCAGAAAAUACAACCAACCUCUAAGACCGAACUUUGGUGGUGUGGACAAACAUCCCUACAGGUUUCUGUGAAAAACUGAAAGCAAGUCUCUUGAAAAGAAUGCAAGCUGCAAUGAAGGUAAUGAAGUGUGGAUGCAAUAAACACUGAAAAUGUUUAUAUAUUUAGAUGUUGAGGUCCCUUUGUCAUUCUCUGUUAAACUAUGUUUUCUGCUUUUUGCUGAUAAAAAGUGAAUAACUUGUAGUGAGGGCAAAAAUAUAAUAUCACAAUAUUUCAAAGAUUUUCACCAUACACGAGAUGUCAUGAUAUUUAUUUUUUUUUGACAUCUGAUGAGUUGGAACAGGCAAGAAAAGAACCAAAAAUGCCACAUUGUAAGAACACCAUCAAGGACUACGAGCACAAAUUAUUUCUAUUUAUUGUUUCACAUACUACACUGCACCAAAUCAGGACUGAUUAUGCGCUCUUUGUCAUGAAUCAUGCAACUGGUCAGUCUUCCAGAAAAGCAUAUUGUGACAUAUUGCCAUGUAAUUUAUCUGUUUAACAACCCUCCCUGUUUAUUUGUUUUGUGAGGUUUUGGUGAAGUCUUUUCAGUCCUGUGUUUAUAUUUCUGUUCAGUGUAUGUACAAAAUCUACACACAUUUAUAAAUACAUUUGUAUGCAAAAAAAGACAUGGUCAAAUGACAUUUUGUUGUUCUAAUUGAAAAUAAGAUAACACAUCCUUCACAGAGAAGAAACUUACAUACAGUAUAGUCCACAAUUUGCAUUUUUUUGCUGAG